UAGGGAAUCUUCGGCAAUGGGGGGAACCCUGACCGAGCAACGCCGCGUGAGUGAAGAAGGUUUUCGGAUCGUAAAGCUCUGUUGUUAAGGAAGAACGAGUGCGAGAAUGGAAAGUUCAUACUGUGACGGUACUUAACCAGAAAGGGACGGCUAACUACGUGCCAGCAGCCGCGGUAAUACGUAGGUCCCGAGCGUUGUCCGGAUUUAUUGGGCGUAAACCGAGCGCAGGCGGUUAGAUAAGUCUGAAGUUAAAGGCAGUGGCUCAACCAUUGUAGGCUUUGGAAACUGUUUAACUUGAGUGCAGAAGGGGAGAGUGGAAUUCCAUGUGUAGCGGUGAAAUGCGUAGAUAUAUGGAGGAACACCUGUGGCGAAAGCGGCUCUCUGGUCUGUAACUGACGCUGAGGCUCGAAAGCGUGGGGAGCGAACAGG
rnacentral:rRNA from 1 species